AUUGAACGCUGGCGGCAUGCCUUACACAUGCAAGUCGAACGGUAACGCGGGGCAACCUGGCGACGAGUGGCGAACGGGUGAGCAAUGCAUCGGAACGUGCCCAGUAGUGGGGGAUAGCCCGGCGAAAGCCGGAUUAAUACCGCAUACGACCUACGGGUGAAAGGGGGGGAUCGCAAGACCUCUCGCUAUUGGAGCGGCCGAUGUCGGAUUAGCUAGUUGGUGGGGUAAAGGCCUACCAAGGCGACGAUCUGUAGCUGGUCUGAGAAGACGACCAGCCACACUGGGACUGAGACACGGCCCAGACUCCUACGGGAGGCAGCAGUGGGGAAUUUUGGACAAUGGGCGAAAGCCUGAUCCAGCCAUGCCGCGUGCGGGAAGAAGGCCUUCGGGUUGUAAACCGCUUUUGUCAGGGAAGAAAUCUUCUGAGUUAAUACCUCGGGAGGAUGACGGUACCUGAAGAAUAAGCACCGGCUAACUACGUGCCAGCCGCCGCAGUAA
rnacentral:rRNA from 1 species